ACUUCGGUCUUCGGCGCUAAUUGCAGCUGUAUACUACAAAACCUCUUCUAAACCCUAAUCUCCAGUUGUUUCUUUCUGCUUUCAAGUUCAACAAUUGUGGUACAGCUACACAGCUAGUCGGUUGUUCACUCUUAAAAGUUAAAUCUUAACUCUUAAGCCCUGUUCCCCAUUUUCCUAAAACCCUCGUUCUUCACUCACUCUACUUGUAAAACUAUUAAACAGAAUGUAACGAGUAUCACUAACCUCAUCAUCUCCCGUCGAGGUUUCUUUUUUCUUUUGUUAUUCCCCCCUCUUUUAUUUUGGGGGGUAGUUUGGGGAAUGCAAGCGCAGGCGCGAAUGACGGUUGAAGGUGCGCAGAGGGUGGUGAACGAUGGUGAUCGUGGCGGGAGGAAGGUGUUGCAGCAUCAGCAGCAAAGUCAGCAACCGCCGCAGAUGGGAACUGUGUCUCAGCUUCUUGCCGGUGGCAUAGCAGGCGCCUUUGGAAAGACCUGCACUGCUCCACUCUCACGCCUCACUAUUCUUUUUCAGGUGCAAGGUAUGCAAUUUGAUGUGGCAGCAGCAGCAGCGUUGAGCAAGCCUAGCAUAUGGUGUGAGGCCUCACGCAUUGUCACUGAAGAAGGAUUUAGAGCAUUUUGGAAAGGCAAUUUGGUGACAGUAGCCCAUCGACUUCCUUAUACCGCAGUCAACUUCUAUGCCUAUGAACGCUACAAGAGUAUAAUACAUUCAAUUUUGGGGGAGAAACUCGGAGGAAAUACAAGUACAGACCCCUUUGUGCACUUCAUAGGUGGUGGUUUGUCUGGCAUAACAGCUGCUACUGCCACAUAUCCGUUGGAUCUAGUGAGAACCCGACUUGCCGCACAGAGAAGUGCCAUUUACUACAAUGGCAUCUCCCAUGCCUUUAAUACAAUAUGCAGGGAAGAAGGCUUCUUGGGUCUUUACAAGGGACUUGGAGCAACAUUAUUGGGUGUUGGGCCGAGUAUAGCGAUAAGUUUUUCUGUUUAUGAAGGCUUACGUUCAUUUUGGAAGUCGCAAAGGCCUGAUGAUUCAACAAUCAUGAUCAGCCUUGCUUGUGGCAGUCUUUCAGGCAUUGCGUCAUCAACAGCAACAUUUCCUUUGGAUCUAGUAAGGCGCCGGAUGCAGUUAGAGGGGCUUGGGGGUCGAGCUCGCAUCUAUAAUACCAGUCUGUUGGGAACAUUUGGACACAUAAUUCAGAAUGAAGGGGUACGAGGUUUGUAUAGAGGCAUUUUGCCUGAGUACUACAAGGUUGUUCCCGGCGUGGGCAUUGUCUUUAUGACUUAUGAGACAUUAAAGAUCCUUAUAUCAAGCAUUCAGAGUUAUUAAACUAUUUUCCAUCAUAUGCUGACCACCUCCAUUUAAUCCUUUUAGGAAAUUUUGUCAUGUAACACUUUUUUUGAAGACAGGAUGAUUACUACCUCAAGUGAUAAUGAUGAUAGCUCUGCAAUGGUUGAAGGUAAUAAUAAACUUGAUCUUACAUGGACUUUUGUUGCUGCAUUAGUGGCAAGUUAUCAAGUUGUUUGGCUGAAGCAGUGGUAUUAAGUUACGAGUUGAGCGAGGGAAAUAGGAAUAGGUUUUAAGCAAUUACAAUAUACAAUACAUGUUUUUUCAACAAUUGGUAUGAUAUGAUAGGUCAUAGACUCAAUACAAACAUGAUACAUGUCAGGGGACAAUGGUGUCGUUUGAUUCAUGUAGCUGACCUCACCUACUAGGAAUAAAGCUUUGUAGUUGUUAAUAGGUCAUAGUUCAACAUAUAAAGAUGAUGACUAAUGGUUUCAACA